rnacentral:rRNA from 2 species
UGGAUCCAGACUUUGAUUCUGGCUCAGGAUGAACGCUAGCUACAGGCUUAACACAUGCAAGUCGAGGGGAAACGACAUCGAAAGCUUGCUUUUGAUGGGCGUCGACCGGCGCACGGGUGAGUAACGCGUAUCCAACCUGCCCAUCACUUGGGAAUAACCUUGCGAAAGUAAGACUAAUACCCAAUGACAUCCCACGAAGGCAUCCGAAUGGGAUUAAAGAUUUAUCGGUGAUGGAUGGGGAUGCGUCUGAUUAGCUUGUUGGCGGGGUAACGGCCCACCAAGGCAACGAUCAGUAGGGGUUCUGAGAGGAAGGUCCCCCACAUUGGAACUGAGACACGGUCAAACUCCUACGGGAGGCAGCAGUGAGGAAUAUUGGUCAAUGGGCGAGAGCCUGAACCAGCCAAGUAGCGUGCAGGAUGACGGCCCUAUGGGUUGUAAACUGCUUUUAUAAGGGAAUAAAGUGAGUCUCGUGAGACUUUUUGCAUGUACCUUAUGAAUAAGGACCGGCUAAUUCCGUGCCAGCAGCCGCGGUAAUACGGAAGGUCCGGGCGUUAUCCGGAUUUAUUGGGUUUAAAGGGAGCGUAGGCCGGAGAUUUAGCGUGUUGUGAAAUGUAGAGGCUCAACCUCUGCACUGCAGCGCGAACUGGUCUUCUUGAGUACGCACAACGUGGGCGGAAUUCGUGGUGUAGCGGUGAAAUGCUUAGAUAUCACGAAGAACUCCGAUUGCGAAGGCAGCUCACGGGAGCGCAACUGACGCUGAAGCUCGAAAGUGCGGGUAUCGAACAGGAUUAGAUACCCUGGUAGUCCGCACGGUAAACGAUGGAUGCCCGCUGUUGGCCUGAAUAGGUCAGCGGCCAAGCGAAAGCAUUAAGCAUCCCACCUGGGGAGUACGCCGGCAGCGGUGCAACUCAAAGGAAUUGACGGA